rnacentral:lncRNA from 8 species
CAUAAGCUGAAAAUGUAGUCAGCUUCCUCCUCUGCAACGAAUGAAUGGUUAUUCUUAUGCUUCCACAUAUAGUAUGCUAGGCCUACUGUCUAUCUUAUCUCUGAUACCGUUCUAAUCAUCACGGAAUCAUUCAUUCAGUAACUUAAAUUUAAACUCUGUUAUCAUUGAUAAGUCACUGACAUUGCAAUCUGUCAAUGUAUUUCCCAAUCACAUGAGAAGUCAUUUCUUACCAUCAGACAUUGAGAAUCUAUGGCCGAUUAGAGGGGGCUGUAAGGAGUGCGCUAAGAGUCGGGAAGCAAGCUCAGGGAGGGAGUGUUUAAAUAAAUAAACGUAACUUAAUACAAAACAAGAACAACGCACAGACAUGAAACUUAAACAGAAACAAUAACGCCUGGGGAAGGAACCAAAGGAAGUGACAUACAAGUGAUGGAGUCCAGGUGAGUCUGAUGAUGUGCAGGUGUGCGUAAUGACGGUGUCAGGUGUGCGCCAUAACGAGCAGCCUGGUGACCUAGAGGCCGGAGAGGGCGCACACGUGACAGGGGCACGUACGUCUGUGAGUCAAAACAAAUCAGCUCCAAAUAAAGACCCUUCACACCUACCACCCUUCUCUUCAGACCACUCAGACCCACACCUACCACCCUUCUCUUCAGACCACUCAGACCCACACCUACCACCCUUCUCUUCAGACCCACACCUACCACCCUUCUCUUCAGACCCACACAUACCACCCUUCUCUUCAGACCACUCAGACCUACACCUACCACCCUUCUCUUCAGACCACUCAGACCCACACCUACCACCCUUCUAUUCAGACCAUUCAGACCCACACCUACCACCCUUCCAUUCAGACCCACACCUACCACCCUUCUCUUCAGACCACUCAGACCCACACCUACCACCCUUCUCUUCAGACCACUCAGACCCACACCCACCACCCUUCUCUUCAGACCACUCAGACCCACGGCUGACACCUUUAGUCUCUCUCUCUCUUUCUUUCUAUCCAUCCUCUUGA